AGGUAAUAGAUACCCCGGUAGUCCACGCCGUAAACGAUGAAUACUAGGUGUAGGGGUUGUCAUGACCUCUGUGCCGCCGCUAAACGCAUUAAGUAUUCCGCCUGGGGAGUACGGUCGCAAGAUUAAAACUCAAAGGAAUUGACGGGGGCCCGCACAAGCAGCGGAGCAUGUGGUUUAAAUUCGAAGCAACGCGAAGAACCUUACCUAGACUUGACAUCUCCUGAAUUACUCUGUAAUGGAGGAAGCCACUUCGGUGGCAGGAAGACAGGUGGUGCAUGGUUGUCGCCAGCUCGUGUCGUGAGAUGUUGGGUUAAGUCCCGCAACGAGCGCAACCCUUAUUGUUAGUUGUUACCAUUUAGUUGAGCACUCUAGCGAGACUGCCCGGGUUAACCGGGAGGAAGGUGGGGAUGACGUCAAAUCAUCAUGCCCCUUAUGUCUAGGGCUACACACGUGCUACAAUGGUCGGUACAAUGAGAUGCAACCUCGCGAGAGUGAGCAAAACCUAUAAAACCGAUCUCAGUUCGGAUUGUAGGCUGAAACUC
rnacentral:rRNA from 1 species